rnacentral:rRNA from 1 species
UACGUAGGGGGCAAGCGUUGUCCGGAUUUAUUGGGCGUAAAGAGCGUGUAGGCGGCCAGAUAGGUCUGUUGUGAAAACUCGAGGCUCAACCUCGAGACGCCGAUGGAAACCAUCUGGCUAGAGUCCGGAAGAGGAGAGUGGAAUUCCUGGUGUAGCGGUGAAAUGCGCAGAUAUCAGGAAGAACACCUGCGGCGAAGGCGGGUAGCUGGGCCGACACUGACGCUGAGGCGCGACAGCGUGGGGAGCAAACAGG